rnacentral:tRNA from 1 species
GAAUAAAAAACUAAACCUAGUAUUUAAUUUCGACUUAAAUUUUGAAGUAUAAAAAAUCUUCUUUAUUCA